rnacentral:rRNA from 1 species
UACGUAGGGUGCAAGCGUUAAUCGGAAUUACUGGGCGUAAAGCACGCGUAGGCGGCUUUGCAAGCCGGAUGUGAAAUCCCCGGGCUUAACCUGGGAACUGCAUUCGGGACUGCAUUGCUAGAGUAUGGGAGAGGGAAGUGGAAUUUCAGGUGUAGCGGUGAAAUGCGUAGAUAUCUGAAGGAACAUCAGUGGCGAAAGCGACUUCCUGGACCAAUACUGACGCUCAUGUGCGAAAGCGUGGGGAGCAAACAGG